rnacentral:misc_RNA from 1 species
GAUGAAGAACGCAGCGAAAUGCGAUAAGUAGUGUGAAUUGCAAAAUUCAGUGAAUCAUCGAAUCUUUGAACGCACAUUGCGCCCCUUGGUAUUCCAUGGGGCAUGCCUGUUCGAGCGUCAUUUGUACCUUCAAGCUUUGCUUGGUGUUGGGUGUUUGUCCCGAGGGACUCGCCUUAAAGUAAUUGGCAGCCAGUGUUUGGUUUUGAAGCGCAGCACAAGUCGCGAUUCAAGGCUACACGCCCGCUUCCACAAGCCUUUUUUCACUUUUGACCUCGGAUCAGGUAGGGAUACCCGCUGAACUUAAGCAUAUCAAUAAGCGGAGGA